UACCAAGUGGCUUAGUGGUGAAGAAUUUGUCUCCCAAGCAGGAGACCUGGGUUUGAUCCCUAGAUUGGGAA
rnacentral:tRNA from 1 species